GGGCCAGUCCGGUGAUCAAGUGGUUAAGUUCACGCGCUCUGCUGCGUUGGCCCAGGAUUUCGCCGGUUUGGAUCCUGGGUGUGGACGUGGCACCGCUCAUCAGGCCACGUUGAGGUGGUGUCCCACAUGCCAUAACUAGAAGGACCUGCAACUAAGAUAUACAACUAUGUAUGGGGGAGGUUUGAGGAGAUAAAGCAGAAAAAAGAAAAAGGAAGAUUGGCAACAGUUGUUAGCUCAGGUGCCAAUCUUAAGAAGAAAAUAAGUGUGGGCCUUUGAGGUUGAUCCGAUUCCCAUCCAGCGUCUCCCUUGGCACAGCGCUGAGAUGGGAGGGAGGAGACUUGAACUGUCUAAGCCAAGCUGCCUGACGUGAAACAGGGGUUCUGCAGCGGUACCUUCCGCAGGGGGCUGUGUGGGGAUUGCGUGAGAUAACAGACGUCAUCUCUUCCCGUGGUGCCUGGCAAGAUGAUGAAUGAAGUUCUGGCAGCUUCCUGUGUCCCAGGCCUUGUAGAAAUAAAUGAGACCUGCUUCAAAGUUCUAAUGUGCAUCACAUCGGAUCUUGUUUAAGGAAGCAUUAAAAGGAACCCACCGAUACCUAUUGAGAAGGCUCUGUGCUCUCAGAAAUUGUUUCUGAUUGAAUCCAGAGGUUGCAAGCAUGCCUCCCUGUAUUACCUGUUGGAGCAGGUUUAAUUUUAUAAAUUUGAAACACAAACUCUAUGAGUUUCUAGUUCAUAAUUGUUCUUUUUGAGGAUCCACUCAGAUGAACAGUAUUGCAUCUGUGAUAGAUAUGCACUUCCACAGGACCAGAAUUGAUUGGAAUAUAAAUGGCAACAAGCUCCAUCUGUAGCAUCAUCCGGUACCAGUGAUGGAAAGGACAGAUUGCAAGGAAACCCUUCAGGGGGAAAAGUCAUAUUGUGUUGGAACUACAGAUUACUAGAAGUAUCGCUUUAGUAAACCAAGGCUUUUUUUCUUGAACACAAUGUGCAUAGACUGUGUAGUUCUUGACUGGUGGCUUUAAUCCAUUAUUGUUAGUCAUCUCCUUGGACACUCUCAAACGCUGAAAGUCUUAAGCUUUCGUUUAAAAACAAAAAUGCAGCUUUGAGAAAAUCCAGGGUUCGAUAGAGCCUUCCAGGUAUUUCCUUCCAACCUUCAUGUCCUGUUAUUACCAGUAGCAGAUACCCAGGUGGUAGAUGAGAAGCCUAGUGGGAGAGGAAGGAAUUGACGAUGAAUGGGCAUAUUACAUUGUAUCGUAAACAUACUUUAUAAGUACAUUUCUUAUUAUUAGCUUCUUAUUCAGGCAGAGAUUAUAAAAGUUUGUUACAAAUAUCCAGACCAGGAUUUGUGUUUUGGAAAUAAUCAGUGUUCACCAUACCUGCAGGGGAAAGGAAAAAGUACAAAAACUCAAAGAUGAGCACUCUUUACACAUAAAAGAAUAUUUUUAUCAUUCUUUUAUUUGUUUUGGCUCUGUCACAAAUUAAAGUGCUUGGAAUGCUGUAGUCUCUUGAAAUUUAAUCAAUGAGAACCUAACACUUUCACAGUAUGCUGUCACUUUGGACAUUCAUAAUAAAAAUUGAAACUAAUUUUGGUUGUUAGUCAUUUAUUUUGAUUUGUAGCUUAGCACAUCUUUCAUGGUCCAUCUUUGCAAUGGUAUCACCAUGUAUCCAGACAAAGAGAUGCGUACAUGGUUCAGGCCUUUCACAGUCUCUUGCAUUUGGUCACUGUCAUUUUUUAUAUUCAAACAACCACUCUUUGUUAUUUGUUGAAAGGCUGAGAUAUUUUCAAAUGCCAAAGUAUUUUCGAUUAUGCAUUCUACAACAGGGAUUAAAGAUAAUUCCUGAGGAUUAUACCUUAGCUUUCUUGAGUUUCUGAUUAUACUAUAUUUUCUAUUAAAUUGAUUAUAAUCAUAUUUUGAUUGUAAUACAUUUUCUAUUAAAUAAGUAGAGAAUUGGAGAAGGCUAUGGGUAAUAUAGCCGCAGCUAGAGGCUUGUCAAUCACUUCUUUUUUGUUUGACUCUGCCCAGAGUGUUGGAGUACAUUUUUAUGUAUUCCACAAUAUUGUAGUAAGAAAUAUUCAGAAAACUCCAAAGAAAUCCAAACACAUGAGCUUAUGUAGAAAACUUAGACCUUGCUUAUUAGCUCUUUUACUAAACUGGGUAUGGAAAUAAGAAAAGACCCCUUUCCUUCUAUUCUUUUGUAACGAAAUCUGCAGUUGGCAGAUAGACCACUCACCUGUUCCCACCUCCUGCCCCACCUCUCCCCCCUACCCCCAAAAAAGGGAGCAGAAUGGAUU
ensembl:lncRNA